UACAGAGGGUGCAAGCGUUGUUCGGAAUUAUUGGGCGUAAAGGGCGCGUAGGCGGCCACCGCAAGUCAGUUGUGAAAUCUCUGGGCUUAACCCAGAACGGUCAGCUGAUACUGCGGGGCUAGAGUGCAGAAGGGGCAACUGGAAUUCUCGGUGUAGCGGUGAAAUGCGUAGAUAUCGAGAGGAACACCUGCGGCGAAGGCGGGUUGCUGGGCUGACACUGACGUGACAGCGCGAAAGCUAGGGGAGCGAACGGG
rnacentral:rRNA from 1 species